rnacentral:rRNA from 1 species
AAUAUUGGACAAUGGGGGCAACCCUGAUCCAGCCAUGCCGCGUGAGUGAAGAAGGCCCUAGGGUUGUAAAGCUCUUUCGCCAGGGAAGAUAAUGACGGUACCUGGUAAAGAAGUCCCGGCUAACUCCGUGCCAUCAGCCGCGGUAAUACGGAGGGGACUAGCGUUGUUCGGAAUUACUGGGCGUAAAGAGUACGUAGGCGGCUUGCCAAGUUGGAUGUGAAAGCCCGGGGCUCAACCCCGGAACUGCAUUCAAAACUGGUUGGCUAGAGAUCGGAAGAGGUAAGUGGAAUUCCCAGUGUAGAGGUGAAAUUCGUAGAUAUUGGGAAGAACACCGGUGGCGAAGGCGACUUACUGGUCCGAUACUGACGCUGAGGUACGAAAGCGUGGGGAGCAAAC